AUUGAACGCUGGCGGCAGGCUUAACACAUGCAAGUCGAGCGGAGAGAGGUAGCUUGCUACUGAUCUUAGCGGCGGACGGGUGAGUAAUGCUUAGGAAUCUGCCUAUUAGUGGGGGACAACAUUUCGAAAGGAAUGCUAAUACCGCAUACGUCCUACGGGAGAAAGCAGGGGAUCUUCGGACCUUGCACUAAUAGAUGAGCCUAAGUCGGAUUAGCUAGUUGGUGGGGUAAAGGCCUACCAAGGCGACGAUCUGUAGCGGGUCUGAGAGGAUGAUCCGCCACACUGGGACUGAGACACGGCCCAGACUCCUACGGGAGGCAGCAGUGGGGAAUAUUGGACAAUGGGCGCAAGCCUGAUCCAGCCAUGCCGCGUGUGCGAAGAAGGCCUUAUGGUUGUAAAGCACUUUAAGCGAGGAGGAGGCUACUUUAGUUAAUACCUAGAGAUAGUGGACGUUACUCGCAGAAUAAGCACCGGCUAACUCUGUGCCAGCAGCCGCAGUAAGAC
rnacentral:rRNA from 1 species